rnacentral:rRNA from 1 species
GAGGAGCCUGCGGCGGAUUAGCUUGUUGGUAAGGUAACGGCUUACCAAGGCGAUGAUCCGUAGCCGGCCUGAGAGGGCGGUCGGCCACACUGACACUGACAUACGGGUCAGACUCCUACGGGAGGCAGCAGUCGGGAAUUUUGGGCAAUGGGCGAAAGCCUGACCCAGCAACGCCGCGUGAAGGAUGAAAUCCCUCGGGAUGUAAACUUCGCAAGAACGGGAAGAAUAAGUCGGUGCCAACACCAUCGGCGAUGACGGUACUGUUUGUAAGCUCCGGCUAACUCCGUGCCAGCAGCCGCGGUAAUACGGGGGGAGCAAGCGUUGUUCGGAUUUACUGGGCGUAAAGGGCGCGUAGGCGGCCACCGCAAGUCGACUGUGAAAUCUCCGGGCUUAACUCGGAAAGGUCAGCCGAUACUGCGGGGCUAGAGUGCAGAAGGGGCAACUGGAGUUCUCGGUGUAGCGGUGAAAUGCGUAGAUAUCGAGAGG